AUUGUCGACGCCUCCGAAACUUAAAAGCCUUUUUGAAACAAAGGAAGGAAAAGAAAACCCUCUAAAAAACCCUCCAAAAUUCCCCGAUAACCGUCCCUCUCUUCAGACACUCGCAUUCAGCUCCUAAUCAGCUUCCAUGGACUCUCAGCAGGAACAAUCUCCGUCUCUCGAAGACUGCUUGAAGCUCCUGCAAGGCGAGAGAGAUGAGCAACGCCUCGCUGGUCUCCUGCUGGUCACCAAAUUUUGUAAAGGAGACGACCACGCUUCGCUUCGUAGGGUGUACGACGCCGUCGGAGUUCGCUUCCUGGAUCGGCUCCUUAGAACCGGGAUGGGAAAAGGAACCAUUAGUAGCAGUGGCGCCGAUAAUCGUGAUGAAUACUUGAAGCUAUCUGUUACGGUUCUUGCUGCCUUCUGUCGCGUUCCUGAAAUUGCUUCUUCAGAAGACAUGUCUGUGAAGAUUCCACUGAUACUCGAAAUAACGUCGAAGAAUUCAGGCUCCUCUGUGCUUGAAGAAUGCUAUGAAUUUCUGUACCUAGCAUCAACUGCUGCUGAAGAUGGAGUUGUGACAUUAUAUGAAUCUGGAGUCAUGAAAGUGCUAGCUUCUCAAAUGUCUACUUUUCCAGAUGAUUCUCAUCUGAUGGAAGUAGCUACAAAACUUGUGCUGUUAUUACUAAGUAAGCUGUCUUUGGAUGUCAUUACCAAUGACUAUUUAUUCGAGCUCUCAGUGAUUGUGGCAACAAUGGCAAGACCAUUUGCCAUAUUGCAAAAGGCCCUGAAAUUUGAAGUGCUCCACCUACUCUCUGCCAUGCUCUCCUCAAAAAAUUCGGCACCACUUUAUGAUGCUCUUCGUGCACUGCCAAAUGGUAGUUGGUCAGAUUAUAUGCGUGAUGGUAUCGCAGCUAUCUUACAUAGUCGUGUUGCACCUGCUGAAAGGCUUGAGGCCCUUAUGUUGGCCGAGACUAUGGUAUCCAUACUUGGGGAGCAGUGGUUGAUUGGUCGAAUAAACUUGCCUGAUAAAGAAGAUUCCAUUCCAGUUGACAGGUUUCUAUUGCUUGUCCUACAGCAAUCGAGGGUUGAAGUUGCUGUUUUGCUGAAUGAGCUUGCCUACUUGAAAUAUGAAGCAUCUAAGAAUUGUUCGUCUACUGCUGAGACAAUUCUUUUAAAGCAAAGAAACGUGGCUAUUGCCUUUUCCUUGAUGGAGAAGAUAAUUAAAUUAAUAUCAGAUGCUGCUGGAAAUGAAGGGGAUCUUAUAGAUGAAAGCACUUUCACAAAUGUGAUCAGGGCACUCAAUGAGACAAUUAGUGUUGUUCUAGAGUAUUUACAAGAUGCAAAGGAACAUGGACAAAGGAAAGGAGAUGAUCUUCUUGCUUCAGUGAGGAUUAUUGGGAGCUAUCUUGCAGAGACACCCUUUGCAUGCAAAGAGAAGGUCAGAGAACUAUUAGAGUAUAUGCUUUCGAUCGAAGGUGAAGAUGAACAAAGCCCUUUCUACUCCAUAUGUUUUUUGCUUCCAAUGUUGUGUCAAAUAUCGAUGGAGAUCGAAGGAUGCAAAUCUUUGGCUUCAUCCGGAGGGCAUAAAGCUGUUAUGGAAUGCCUCAUAAAACUGAUUGGGCCAAAUAAUUGUAUGGUUGAGAACAACAGUUGUGUCUUCUUGGCAUGUGAUACAGUCAUGAAUCUCCUAUUAAAGAAAGAGCAAUUACGGUUGUUGUUGGAUGAAUCGACUUUUGUUCAUCUUUUGAAAGCGUUGGCAUAUUGGACAGAAGCUAUUGAAGAUCCAUCAGUUCUUAUGAUGGCUUCGAGCAUUGGUGCGCUGAUAUUGGAUUUUACAUCAGAGGAGGCUCUUCUUAAGCAUCCAAACUUUGAUCGUAGCUCUCUUAAUAGUCUUUCUAGGCUCAUUGCGAGAAGUUUGGCUUCAUGUGGACCGGAGAUGUCUGAUGCUGCGAAAGCAGAAGCAGAUCUUCUUGAGAUUGUUAAUGCAGGAUACUCUCGAUGGGCUCUGAGGUUUCCCCAUAUAAGAGCGGCAGUCGAGAGAUAAACUGGUCCUGCUUCUCAAGUGAAACUUUAUUUUGUUGCCAACUGCUUGAGAUAGAGGUAGUCAGGAGGGAGGGACCAUCCUUGUCUUUCUACCGCUCUACGCAGUGGCUCUAGCAUGGCUCACUCUCUUUUGUAGCGCAGCUAUUUCUUCUGUCCCUUUGCUUGCAUUUGCAAGUUGUGUAAAAGG